AACAAACGCUGGCGGCGUGCCUAAUACAUGCAAGUCGAACGGGGAAAGCUUUCGGGUGAGUACUAGUGGCGCACGGGUGAGUAACGCGUGGAUAAUCUGCCUUAGAGUGGGGGAUAACUAGUCGAAAGAUUAGCUAAUACCGCAUAAGACCACAAGAACUGCGGUUCAAGGGGUCAAAGGUUUUUCGCUCUAAGAUGAGUCCGCGUAAGAUUAGCUAGUUGGUGAGGUAAUGGCUCACCAAGGCGACGAUCUUUAACUGGUCUGAGAGGAUGAUCAGUCACACUGGAAAUGAGACACGGUACAGACUCCUACGGGAGGCAGCAGUAGGGAAUAUUGCACAAUGGAGGAAACUCUGAUGCAGCGACGCCGCUUGAGUGAUGAAGGCCUUCGGGUCGUAAAGCUCUGUCGCAAGGGAAUAACACAAUGAAUGUACCUUGCAAGAAAGGAUCGGCUAACUUCGUGCCAGCAGCCGCAGUAAGAC
rnacentral:rRNA from 1 species